CCCUCCCCCGCCCGCCCCUCCGCCCGGCGGAGGCUCCGAGCUGCCGCGGGCCGCGCGCACAGGAGGCGCGCGCGCUGCCAGUUUCCUCCUCAAGCCCGCGCUCCGCGUGUGCAGUCCCGGCCCCGCUCAUUCAAAGCCGGGCGCGCGCUCGGUCGCGGCCGCCGUCGCCGCCGCGCAGCUGCCGUCACCGCCCCUCUCCGGGAAGCCCGCCCCCGGCCCCUCUCCAGCCCCUCCCCCAGCUCCUCCCCGACCCCGCCUCUGCUCCUGCAAGGUGGCUCUGGUUAUCUCCAGGCCCUCAACAUCCGGGCCCCGCCCCACGUCUUGUCUAGCCCAAUAGGCGGGAGGUUGAGGGUCGGCAUUGGGACUCGUAACCCGUGAAAGCCGAGGGGCGGGGUCAGCGGCGACCAACACGUCGACGUUUAGUCACGGAACAAGGAGACUAUGUUACGAGGAACCGCGUCCUUGCCGAAUUAGAUGUUUACCUUCGGAGAUUGCCCUGGAGCAUGAUGAACGUUUUGUAAGCCCGAGAAACGGGAAGGCCCAGGAGGGUGGGGAAUUCCCAAAGAACUAGAAAACAAGGAAGCAGGUGUCUCUGGAUAAGGGUCAUGAUGAACAGCCAAACUCACCGGUACUGUUCUACAAGUGACGGCGGGCUCCGUCA